UUGAUUUUCACCGAAGCUUGCUUCACCGAAAAUCAAGAGUAGCGAACGGGUGAGUAACGCGUGGGUAACCUACCUAUCAGCGGGGGAUAACUAUUGGAAACGAUAGCUAAUACCGCAUAACAAUGUUGGAUGCAUAUUCGACAUUUGAAAGUACCAACUGGUACACUGAGAGAUGGACCCGCGUUGUAUUAGCUAGUUGGUAGUGUAAUGGACUACCAAGGCGAUGAUACAUAGCCGACCUGAGAGGGUGAUCGGCCACAUUGGGACUGAGACACGGCCCAAACUCCUACGGGAGGCAGCAGUAGGGAAUCUUCGGCAAUGGACGAAAGUCUGACCGAGCAACGCCGCGUGAGUGAAGAAGGUUUUCGGAUCGUAAAACUCUGUUGUUAGAGAAGAACGUUGCAUAGAGUGGAAAAUUAUGCAAGUGACGGUAUCUAACCAGAAAGGGACGGCUAACUACGUGCCAGCAGCCGCGGUAAUACGUAGGUCCCGAGCGUUGUCCGGAUUUAUUGGGCGUAAAGCGAGCGCAGGUGGUUUAAUAAGUCUGAUGUAAAAGGCAGUGGCUCAACCAUUGUGUGCAUUGGAAACUGUUAGACUUGAGUGCAGUAGAGGAGAGU
rnacentral:rRNA from 1 species